GAUGGGCAUGCGUCCUAUUAGCUUGUAGGUGAGGUAACGGCUCACCUAAGCUCCGAUAGGUAGGGGUCCUGAGAGGGAGAUCCCCCACACUGGUACUGAGACACGGACCAGACUUCUACGGAAGGCAGCAGUAAGGAAUAUUGGACAAUGAGCGCAAGCUUGAUCCAGCCAUACCGCGUGUGUGAAGAAGGCUUUCGGGUUGUAAAGCACUUUAAGCAGGGAGAAAAAGUUAUAGGCUAAUACCCUAUGACCGUGAUGUUACCUGCAGAAUAAGCACCGGCUAAUUCCGUGCCAGCAGCCGCGGUAAUACGGAAGGUGCAAGCGUUAAUCGGAAUUACUGGGCGUAAAGCGCGCGUAGGUGGUCUGUUAAGUUGGAUGUGAAAGCCCUGGGCUCAACCUAGGAACUGCAUCCAAAACUAACUCACUAGAGUACGAUAGAGGGAGGUGAAUUCAUAGUGUAGCGGUGGAAUGCGUAGACUUUAUGAAGAAAUACAGUGGCGAAGGCGGGCUCCUGAAUCUGUACUGACACUGAGGUGCGAAAGCGUGGUUAGCGAAAUGAUUAGAUACCCGUGUGUCCAGCCGUAACGAUAAAAAUACUGAUGGAGACAUGUUUACAUG
rnacentral:rRNA from 1 species